rnacentral:lncRNA from 1 species
AGAGAUCUUAGAUGCAGAGGCUGCGAAGUUUGACGAAAUAUUUUCUAUUUCUUUGAAGCAUGGGAUGAUAACAACACGAUCAUUAAGCGAAUAGCCUCUAAAGAGAUGGAACACAGGCAAGUUGAAUUUGAUAUAGCACCUCAACAAAUUGGAGAGGGCGAAAAGCUGGUGAAUGCCUCAAAAAUAGUUUGUCGAGAAAUUGAUUGGUCUUUUCACCUAUUCGUGGAAACAUUGUUU